ACCAAGCCGAGGAACAGCUCAGUUCAGAGGAAAGCUGAAUUCAAACACACCCUCAUAAUCCGGCUGGGAGACCAAAAUGUUGGCUUGCCCAUCUCUGUUGAAGGAGCAGUGAUCUCAGCUGUCUACAGUGGUGCAGCUCUGAAGGGAGCAUGCAUAUUCUGCUGCCUGGGAGACCAUGAACACACCUCUGCAGACUGGGAAAGAACAUCACCUAUAAGAAGACCCCUAUCUAGCAGAAAAAACACAGGAUGGAAAAAAUAGCAGCCAUACAAGCAUAUGUCUCAGCAAGGAGUUGCACUAAGUGGAGAAUAAAGAAUAAAUCUGACUUUCUGCCCCUUGACAAGAAAUAAAGUGUAGGAAAUGUGAGAACA